rnacentral:rRNA from 1 species
GUCACCAGACAUAUUACCUUGAAGCUGCCUGGUCUAAUAUGAUCUCAGAAGAUAAGCAGGGCCAGGCCUGAUUAGGAUUUGGGUGGGAGACUCAGGGUAGUGUAAGAAUAAGAAAGGUGGUU